ACAGUCCAGAAGGCCCAACCCCGAACCGCUCACAUCGGAUCCGCUCCAGCUCCGACGACGAGAUGGGCUCCAUGGAAGCGUCGACCGCGCCGGAGAACGGCUCCGCCGCCGCCGGCGGAGCCGGCGGCACUGCGUGCAACGGGGCCAGCGCAGCGCCGAACGGAGGAGGUAUGGAGAGAAGGCUGAGGUCCUCGGCGGCGUCCGCGUCGUGGGCGGCGCACCUGCCCCUGGAGGUUGGCACGCGCGUGAUGUGCCGGUGGCGCGACCAGAAGCUCCACCCUGUCAAGGUCAUCGAGCGCCGCAAGGGCUCCUCGUCCUCUUCCCCCGCCGACUACGAGUACUACGUCCACUACACUGAGUUCAAUAGAAGGCUUGACGAGUGGGUUAAGCUUGAGCAACUUGAUCUUGAUACUGUUGAAACCGAUGUCGAUGAAAAAGUAGAAGAUAAGGCGACAAGCUUAAAGAUGACCCGGCACCAGAAACGUAAAAUUGAUGAAACACAUGUGGAGCAAGGUCAUGAGGAACUUGAUGCAGCCAGCUUGCGGGAACAUGAAGAAUUCACAAAGGUGAAGAACAUUGCGAAGAUAGAACUUGGGAGAUAUGAGAUAGAUACAUGGUAUUUCUCCCCUUUUCCACCAGAGUACAAUGACUGCCCGAAGCUGUUUUUCUGUGAAUUUUGCCUCAACUUCAUGAAGCGCAAAGAACAGCUUCAGAGGCACAUGAAAAAGUGUGAUCUGAAACAUCCCCCAGGUGAUGAAAUCUAUAGAAGUGGGACUCUGUCGAUGUUCGAGGUUGAUGGCAAGAAGAACAAGGUUUAUGGACAGAAUCUUUGUUAUUUAGCCAAGCUAUUUCUUGAUCACAAGACAUUGUACUACGACGUUGAUCUAUUCUUGUUUUAUGUCCUGUGUGAAUGUGAUGACCGGGGAUGUCAUAUGGUGGGAUAUUUCUCUAAGGAAAAACACUCUGAAGAAUCUUACAAUUUGGCUUGCAUCCUCACUCUCCCCCCAUACCAAAGAAAAGGAUAUGGGAAGUUCCUGAUUGCUUUCUCAUAUGAGCUUUCCAAGAAGGAAGGCAAAGUUGGGACACCGGAGCGCCCUCUUUCUGAUCUUGGUCUGCUCAGCUAUAGAGGUUAUUGGACUAGAGUGCUUCUAGAAAUUCUAAAGAAACAUAAGGGCAACAUAUCUAUAAAGGAACUUAGCGAUAUGACGGCCAUAAAAGCAGAUGACAUCUUGAGCACGCUGCAGAGCCUGGACCUAAUCCAGUACCGCAAAGGGCAGCACGUCAUCUGCGCCGACCCUAAGGUCCUGGACCGCCACCUCAAGGCGGCGGGCCGGGGCGGCCUGGACGUCGACGUUAGCAAGCUGAUCUGGACUCCCUACAAGGAGCAAGGCUAAGGCAAAUCAGGGCGAGGAACCGGCAGCGAAGUGAGACCGGUCUUCGUCCCCAUGAUUCAAUGGAACAGCUGUGCCGAUCUGCUGCUGACUGCCCGGGCGGCCAUUGCCAGAUACAGAUCCUGCCCUGCCACUCGCUUCGAAAGGGCGCCUGCCCCCGUGCCACGCAUGCCCGGUUCAUGCUUGCAUUUUUUUUUGUUCGGCGUUGUUAGUGUCGCACGUUUGGCAUGGCCGUUGCAGCAGAUUGGGCGUACCGGCACGCGCACCUGUGCGCCCAUAUGGGUGGGGCUUGCGUGUACGUGCGUGCCCAUGAGCCCGGGGAGAGAAAGGGCGGAAUGGGUUAUGUGUGACAGUGUGAGGGGGACAAAAACAAACCGGGGAGGGAGCAAGGGGCUGUGGGGAAGACGACAGAUGCAGUUGCGGGUUCAGGCGGGGACGCGACGCGAGGGAGGAGAUGAGAUCCGUCGUGGCGUGGGGGCCGAGCGCUGUGCCGCCUACUGGGCGGGGACGCCACAUACUUUGAUGUGACCAAGCUGUCAUGCUGGCACAAGCGCGAUGUGGCGGAUGACGUGGCAAGGCUGAGUCGCUCCACAUGUUUUGGUGCGAUAGAGUCGCGCCAUGCGCCGUGGCGCGACUCAGUCAAUUUUGACUCGGCCCACCGAGAAACCCUACCCAAAUUCCUUACUUCCCUAUCUUGUGUCCAGGGGCUUCACCCGGGGACCCCGCCGCCCGCGACCCACCCAGCCGCCCGCCACUUGCGGCCGCCGGAGCACUGCAGCAAGCUCCCCUGCCCGCGGCCGGCGUUGCCGCCCGCCGUGCAGCCGCCCCCCACCCGCGGCCUGGCGACCGGCCCCCGGCGCCCUGCACCCGCGUGCCCCCUGCGGACCGGCCGCCGGGGCCCUGCACGGCCCACCCCCUACCGCUACCAUUGCGGAGCACUAGCCGCCGCCAUUGCCGCCUCCGCCAGGGCCAUUUGGGCCGCCGGAUCCAGAUCCGCCUCUGGUUCCCUCGAUUACAGAGAUGGCAUACCACGCGCUACCCUCUCCUGGAGAUGCAUUACGAUGAGUGACACCGUGGCAAGAUACAAGAAGAGCGUACGCAGGUUUUGAAGCCUCUACGCCCCCGCCUUCACAAGCCUCUGGGGUGGGACGUGAAGCGUCCCCUCAUAAGAGGUGACUCAAAUGUGAUACUAAUAUCAGUCCCAAGAGACUGAUAACACAUUUAUUACAUCAGAUGGUACAUCACCGUACAACUCUACGCGGUAAUAGGCAAUGAAGCACCACUAUCGCGAGGACAACAACUAAAACCCAAACAAGAACAUGAACCACGACGAGGUCAUCAGAGUCUUGCGCCAUACGAAGCUUCCUGCGGGUGACCCUAACCACAGGCAAGGUUGGGUGCAGAACGGAACCCCUACUCAACGUCAUCGGGAAUAAAUUAUGGAUCUUCCUCUGUAAAAAUUAAGCAAGAGUGAGUACAAACGUACUCAGCAAGUUCAACCACACCCACGGAGGGGGGUAUAAACAGAAUAUAUGCACAGGGUAAAUAAAGGGUAAGGCUAAGGUUUAAUUUA